rnacentral:lncRNA from 1 species
GUUGCAUCUAAAAGAGAGUUUGAGGACUUCAGUAGUGUUAGAAAUGAUUGCACUCAUAUAUAGAAGAGUCUUUCAGGACGUGACUAAUAUGAUCAGAUUCAUCAUAAGUAUACUCGAGGAAGUGACAAGCACACCGUCAUGAACAAAAAGUUAAAAAAGUCAUGGAACACAAGCACCCCUUGGCUCAAGGGACUAGAAAAUAUUUUUCGUUUUCCCCACUUUAUCGGCCAUGCACGCUUCCUCAACAAACUCUCAAGCCUCCUUUGCGCCACCUUCCUUAUAGAAGUCUCCGGAUUGACCUUGAAGGCCGAAUUCUAUAUGGAGAAUGCUGUAAUAAUAAUUGAGCCAUGAGAGACUUUAUCAAUUCUUACAAAAGGAAGGUCCUGUUGAUAGAGCUAGCCGAGGAGGCAAUACUAGUAAUCAUGUGAGAGAGAGAAGUCAAAGAGAUGCCUGGCCCCCUUAAAACCCAUUACCUAAUAAGGAUGUAUGCCGAUGACUUACUACUUGGAAUCGUGGGUGCCGUAGAUCAGACCUAGCGGUAGACUGGCGGGCCAUGCCUAAGUUCAGAUCGGACUAGACUCUUUUUUGUUUGAGCUGCUCCCACGAACGUGGACUGGAAGAUCUCACUGGUCGUGGACUACACAAGUGCGUAGAGAUCUUCUUGGGACAGUGAAUGGGAAAUUAUUAGGGAAAGCUAUCUUUCAAAUAUGAUAUUCCAGAGUUUGACUAGUUUAGAUCUCAGUGCAUGAAGGCCAUAUUGCUAAAUGAUACUCCUCCCUUUAAAGGCAUGUGGCAUUUUUAUUUUUAUUUUUAAUUUUGGCAAGAUAAUGCUACACAUGCCUUUAGUGGAGAAAAGGAGAAGGAUUCCUUCUAGGUUCUUGUUCUACUUUUUUGCUAUCUUUAUUAUUUGCUAGAUUCUUUUAUUACGUGCAACUUAAAGACAAGUACUGCUUCAUAGUUUUCUUAAUUGCAUUUUCUAUCCCCAUUGGACAGCAUGAUUUGCUUUAUUAAUUUAAGCAUUGUACUUCAUAGGGCCAACCUAAUUGAAUAUCAAGAUAUUUAAGGCUGAUGAUUCAUCAAAAUAAUGAGCUUAAAAUUCUUAACUCAAAAUAGGUAUGAGAUGUUAUUUUUAUUUGGGAAUCUUACUCUGUCUAUAUCAACUCAAAUAGCUCCUUUUACUUUUUGGUUGGCUUGAACAUUUUAGAAGAGAAAUGAAACUGAAUUUGCAUGGCUGGACCUGAAUUUAGAAUGUUGGACAUGCAACCAUGUGCAAACUACCUUUGACAUAGUUAUUUAUCAAAUUUGUCAUGUUAAAUGGUGUCAUUGUGCAAACAAUGCAAUUACCAUCAAGACCUAUGAAUUCGAUGACGUU